rnacentral:rRNA from 1 species
GAUGAACGCUAGCGGCAGGCUUAAUACAUGCAAGUCGUGGGGCAGCGCAGUGUAGCAAUACAUGGCGGCGGCCGGCAAACGGGUGCGGAACACGUACACAACCUUCCUACAAGUGGGGAAUAGCCCAGAGAAAUUUGGAUUAAUACCCCGUAACAUAUAAAGAUGGCAUCAUUUUAUAUUAUAGCUACGGCGCUUGUUGAUGGGUGUGCGGCUGAUUAGGUAGUUGGCGGGUAAUGGCCCACCAAGCCUGCGAUCAGUAGCUGAUGUGAGAGCGUGAUCAGCCACACGGGCACUGAGACACGGGCCCGACUCCUACGGGAGGCAGCAGUAAGGAUAUUGGACAAUGGGCGCAAGCCUGAUCCAGCCAUGCCGCGUGAAGGAUUAAGGUCCUCUGGAUUGUAAACUUCUUUUAUAAGGGACGAAAAAGGGAUUCUUUCUCACUUGACGGUACCUUAUGAAUAAGCACCGGCUAACUCCGUGCCAGCAGCCG